rnacentral:rRNA from 1 species
CGCCGCGUGAGUGAUGAAGGCCUUCGGGUCGUAAAGCUCUUUGAUCAGGGAUGAUAAUGACAGUACCUGAAAAACAAGCCACGGCUAACUACGUGCCAGCAGCCGCGGUAAUACGUAGGUGGCGAGCGUUGUCCGGAAUUACUGGGCGUAAAGGAUGCGUAGGUGGAUACUUAAGUGGGAUGUGAAAUCCCCGGGCUCAACCCGGGAACUGCAUUCCAAACUGGGUAUCUAGAGUGCAGGAGAGGAAAGCGGAAUUCCUAGUGUAGCGGUGAAAUGCGUAUAUAUUAGGAGGAACACCAUUGGCGAAGGCGGCUUUCUGGACUGUAACUGACACUGAGGCAUGAAAGCGUGGGUAGCAAACAGGAUUAGAUACCCUGGUAGUCCACGCCGUAAACGAUGGGUACUAGGUGUAGGAGGUAUCGACCCCUUCUGUGCCGUCGUUAACACAAUAAGUACCCCGCCUGGGGAGUACGGUCGCAAGACUAAAACU